rnacentral:rRNA from 1 species
GACGAACGCUGGCGGCGUGCCUAAUGCAUGCAAGUCGCACGGCUGGGCUUCGGCCCGGCAGUGGCGGACGGCUGAGGAACACGUGGGAACCCGCCCAUCCGUGGGGGACAACACGGCGAAAGUCGUGCUAAUCCCGCAUACGCUCGUGAGAGGAAAGCGGCAACGCGCGGAUGGAAGGGCCCGCGGCCCAUCAGGUAGUUGGCGGGGUAACGGCCCACCAAGCCGUUGACGGGUAGCUGGUCUGUGAGGAUGACCAGCCAGACUGGGACUGAGAGACGGCCCAGACUCCUACGGGAGGCAGUAGCAAGGAAUUUUCGGCAAUGGGCGCAAGCCUGACCGAGCAACGCCGCGUGCGGGAUGACGGCCUUCGGGUUGUAAACCGCUUUUCGAGGGGACGAUGAUGACGGUACCCUCGGAAUCAGGCUCGGCUAACUCUGUGCCAGCCGCCGCCGUAAAAC